rnacentral:rRNA from 1 species
UUGUUGGUUAGCGGCGGACGGGUGAGUAACACGUGGGUAACCUGCCUGUAAGAUCGGGAUAACUCCGGGAAACCGGUGCUAAUACCGGAUAGAUUAUCUUUCCGCUUGGAGAGAUAAGGAAAGAUGGCUAUUGCCAUCACUUACAGAUGGGCCCGCGGCGCAUUAGCUAGUUGGUGAGGUAACGGCUCACCAAGGCGACGAUGCGUAGCCGACCUGAGAGGGUGAUCGGCCACACUGGGACUGAGACACGGCCCAGACUCCUACGGGAGGCAGCAGUAGGGAAUCUUCCGCAAUGGACGAAAGUCUGACGGAGCAACGCCGCGUGAGUGAAGAAGGUCUUCGGAUCGUAAAGCUCUGUUGUUAGGGAAGAACAAGUAUCGGAGGAAAUGCCGGUACCUUGACGGUACCUGACGAGAAAGCCACGGCUAACUACGUGCCAGCAGCCGCGGUAAUACGUAGGUGGCAAGCGUUGUCCGGAAUUAUUGGGCGUAAAGCGCGCGCAGGCGGUCCUUUAAG